rnacentral:rRNA from 1 species
GACGAAGGAUGCAAGCGUUAUCCGGAUUCAUUGGGUUUAAAGGGAGCGUAGGCGGCCUUGUAAGUCAGUGGUGAAAUCUCUCGGCUUAACCGAGAAAUUGCCAUUGAUACUGCAGGGCUUGAGUACAGUUGCCGUUGGCGGAAUAUGACAUGUAGUGGUGAAAUACAUAGAGAUGUCAUAGAACACCGAUUGCGAAGGCAGCUAACGAAACUGUAACUGACGCUGAGGCUCGAAAGUGCGGGGAUCAAACAGGA